CCUACGGGUGGCAGCAGUGAGGAAUAUUGGUCAAUGGGAGAGAGCCUGAACCAGCCAAGCCGCGUGAGGGAAGACGGCCCUAUGGGUUGUAAACCUCUUUUGUCGGAGAAUAAAACCCGGGACGUGUCCCGUAUUGCGUGUAUCCGAAGAAAAAGCAUCGGCUAACUCCGUGCCAGCAGCCGCGGUAAUACGGAGGAUGCGAGCGUUAUCCGGAUUUAUUGGGUUUAAAGGGAGCGUAGGGGGUCCGUUAAGUCAGCGGUAAAAUUGCGGGGCUCAACCCCGUCGUGCCGUUGAAACUGGCAGACUUGAGUUGGCGAGAAGUACGCGGAAUGCGCGGUGUAGCGGUGAAAUGCAUAGAUAUCGCGAAGAACCCCGAUUGCGAAGGCAGCGUACCGGAGCCAGACUGACGCUGAGGCACGAAAGCGUGGGGAUCGAACAGGAUUAGAUACCCUAGUAGUC
rnacentral:rRNA from 1 species